GGGCAUUUAGCUCAGUUGGUUUAGAGCAUUACCUUGACAGUGUAGGGGUCACUGGUUCGAAUCCAGUAAUGCCCA
rnacentral:tRNA from 1 species